rnacentral:rRNA from 1 species
AUUGAACGCUGGCGGCAGGCUUUACACAUGCAAGUCGAACGAGUGGCGGACGGGUGAGUAAUGCUUUGGAACCUGGCUUGUGGAGGGGGAUAACGACGGGAAACUGUCGCUAAUACCGCAUACUAUUGGAUGUGCCCAAGUGUGAUUAGGUUGUUGGUGGGGUAAUGGCCUACCAAGGCGACGAUCUCUAGCUGGUCUGAGAGGAUGACCAGCCACACCGGGACUGAGACACGGCCCAGACUCCUACGGGAGGCAGCAGUGGGGAAUUUUGCACAAUGGGCGCAACCCUGAUCCAGCCAUGCCGAGUGAAUGAAGAAGGCCUUCGGGUUGUAAAGUUCUUUCGGCAGGGAGGCGUUACCCGAAGAAGAAGCACCGGCUAACUACGUGCCAGCAGCCGCGGUAAUAC